AAUGAUGAUGGAAAAUUAAAUUCUGUCCAUUAAGUGAAUUAAAAUAAUAUUAUUCAUACAAUUAAAAGUCACAAGUAAAUUAAAUUAAUAUUAUUAUUUUUAAAUUGUUACUCGAAAAUAGUUAAUUAAUGUUUUAUAUUUUCUUUUUCUUCUCCUUUUAAAAGCUCUACAGCUAAACAACAAACCACAUAAUCUCAAUGAGGAUGAUGAUUAAAGUUAACUAACUAAUUUUUGGGCAAUUAAAAUCAUGUUACAGAAUCAUCAUCAUGCAAUUUAAUCAUGUAUCAUGUCUUGAAAUUGAAUAUUUGGCAAAAAGAAAUUCGAAAAAAAAAGUUUUUUUUUCUCUUCUUCGUUUCUGAGAAAAAUAAUACCUGAGGCUACGAUCAUUGAAAAAGGAUGAUAAUCAAUAUUUUCUCACAAUUUGUUGAUUCUGGUUGAUUAACUGGUGAAUUAAUAAAACAAAUUCA